rnacentral:rRNA from 1 species
GACAGAGGGUGCAAACGUUGUUCGGAAUUACUGGGCGUAAAGCGCGUGUAGGCGGCAACGCAAGUCGGAUGUGAAAUCCCAUGGCUCAACCAUGGAAGUGCACCCGAAACUGCGUCGCUAGAGUCCUGGAGAGGAAGGUGGAAUGCUUGGUGUAGAGGUGAAAUUCGUAGAUAUCGAGCGGAACACCGGUGGCGAAGGCGGCCUUCUGGACAGUGACUGACGCUGAGACGCGAAAGCGUGGGGAGCAAACAGG